CUAGAUGAAUACCCGCACUACGUG
rnacentral:siRNA from 1 species